CUCCGUACACGGCUAUCAUGGAUUUACCACGGAUUAGUCACCACGAGGUAAAUGCUUCGUGAUUUUUCCCUAUAUUGUUCUGCGUAUAUUAGUUAAACAAAAUGGUUGGCAAUUUUUAUUCCUCUCUGCGGACAGCUGUACAGAGACGCAUUCUUGGAUAAAAAAAAAUACAUAAAAUCAGAAAUAUAUAUAUAGUUAAUAAGCGUCAUUGGAAGACACCACGUCAUACCGGAUUACCAUAACACAUACAAGUCCAUACAAGAUCAAGAAUGCCACGAUACGUUGUAUUGGCAUUUUUUAUUUUGACCGUAUUCAACAUUGCCAGUUUGGCACUUUCGACUUCGGACACCAGAGGGUCGACUAUGGGUGCCAGAGUCUUGGCACCUAUCGCCAGAUUCACCUCAGAUGCCAAUGCCAGUCACUACCCAAUGACAGACGACGAAGCUUUGUUACUCCUGUACCAGGUCGUCUUGAGACCUUUCAUGGAUUUGAGCAGCAAUGACUUCGGAGACAACGGCAUCUUCGGGGCGGUGAUAUGUCCAGAAGAUAUGCCCUAUAACUGGAUCACCAAGUCUUGCAAUGAAGUCGCAACUACGGUGGAGACUCCUCAAGAACUCGAUUAAGGUUCACAUUGGCCCCGAUUUCCGCAGACACCUCCUAACUUUACUUUAAAUUACACCUGUCAUUUUCUUAUCCACCGAAAAUGAAAGGGACGCAUGAUUGACAGCUCUUAAUUUUGGGACGAAUGGGUAAACGAAUGAAUAACCCGGACGAGUCAAAAAGGUAUCUCGCUGGUAUGCAAACCGUUUGACGUGUGCUGUCAACAUAAUUCUGUCGGGUUAUUGGCCAAUGUAAAAUUUUUAGACGGUUAUUUGUGAUUUGUGCUUAAAAUUGACGUGUGUUCCAUAAAUUUUAUGCUUGUCGAUUACCCGUCCUUUUCCUUUUCGUCGGAUAAGAAAAUGACACAUAUAUCUUAAAAAAAAAAUUAGAUGGUGUUUACAGGAAUUAACACCAUUAUUCGUAUAAGUGUAGUCACUGUGGCACAGUUCGAACCCCGGCACCGGACUUAUUGAGUUAUUAAUUUAUCUUAAGCGCAGUUUUCACUGACACAGUUGCCUCGAGCAUUACAGACGGCGAUACAGCUCACCUAUCACGUUGGUCUAACAGAAAGCUCGGUGAGGCGUGGAUGCUUAAUCUUCUUGCGAUGGAUGUGCGUCUGACUACCCCAUUAUGUGAGCUUAUGUUGUUCGUGUAAGUCUGGCGAUAAAGCUACACACACAGGCGAUACGGCGGACAAUGCGAGAACUUCUAUGAAAACAUCAUGGGUCCGUUUACCUAACCUGAAGAUUUGUCAGGUCCGGUCUUUUACAGAAGCGACUGAUUGUCUGGCCUUCCAACCAGCCCAAUACAGGUUACAUCACAUACGUCCGGAACGCAUUUCACGGGAAUGUAGGUUUCCUCGCGAUGUUUUCCUUCACCGCUGAGCAUGAUUAUCAUUCAUGAUCUGAACAUGGAUUCGAAUAUCAAAGAUAAGAUACCUAAGUGUGCCUAACAAGAGCUGCGGGUUCAAAUCCCAUCAGAGUCAGAAAUGUUUUCAAUUUAAUUUUCUGUUGGUGAGUUUCCCUAAGCAAGAGUGAGUGCUAUAAAAACAAAAAAUAUCUAAGUGUAGUUUUUGUUAUGAUAAAGAUACGCAAUAAAUUACAUUAAAAUUG
rnacentral:lncRNA from 1 species